UUUUUUUUUUUUUUUCUCAAAUAUAUUUGAAAGACCAAGAAAAACAACAAAAGACCGAUGCAGGUGUCCAAGAUCUCCUCUAACUGGUCUUAAUUCUGAGGGUCAGGACUGGGUUUUCUCUUUUGAAACAGUGUAGAUAGAUGCUGGUACUCUGAAGACUCUGAAGAAAAUUUGAAACCAUUUACUAUUUCUAUUGUGUUCCCCUACCAGCUGUGUCACAAAAAGAGUCCUUGGAGAGAGGAACAUGGGGAAGUGUGAACAUGAACAGAUGCCUGGGGAAUGUGGGCUGGGAAAGGGAACAUAAAUUCCCAGAUCCAGAUUCUUCUCCAUGACGGCAAACCUGAGGACUCUGAACUAGCAACUUGUCCCCAGCCUGGGGAGUAGCACUGACUGCUUGAUGACCAACUGAUUCAGAGAUGAAGAAUUCCCUUGGAGCUGAUGAAAUAAAAUCAAUGCCUGCCUGUGCCUGGAACCCUGAGACUACUUUAACUUCACGAGUCAGAGACCGUGCCAGAAAAGUGCUAUUGACCAAAUAUUUUCCGAAGGAAAAUGGUAGGGCAAUGAGUUCUACACCAUGUUGUGGGCUUGCAAGUAAAGGAUGUGGUAGAAGUAUUGGCAUAUAUUUGAAAAACCUGUAUCUAAUCCUAAAUUCCAAAAAAAUCAUUUUGAGAUAACUGAAGAAGAGUAGAAUAGAGAAAGCAUAAGCAGAAGUAAAGAUCUGAGAUGUGUAGACAAAAACAAAACCCAACAAUGACAACAAAAAAAAAAAAAAAAGGAAAAGAAAAAAAAAACACACCACACACCAAACCAACAGCUGCACGAUCUUUUGGAGUCAGACUAGUGAUUAAAAUAAACAGGCAAGCAAUUCAAUAUUUGCCAUCAUAAAUUUUACUCAGGGGGGAACAUAGGACAGGUAGUUUUACUUAAAAACAAGUGUACACAAGUCUUAAGAGAUGUAGUAGUGAUGAUGCAACAAUGACAAAUGUAAUUCCAGCUACAAAGAAUCUCUGUCGUCUGUUAUCAAAACCAAACAUCUCGUUGAAAAAAAAAAAAAGUACAAAAGAUAACAAAGCUUAUGAGAAGACACAGAGGCAAAAAGGGAAAGGACAAAUUAAAAGAAGAAUGCUAACUUUAUAGUCCUGUCUCACUAUGUAUAUUAGAUAAAGGUAGCUGCUACAAACUUACUUUGUAUAUUGCACUUUACCAUAACAGAUACAAUAAGGAUUGUAUCCACCCCCCAGAAAAAAAUCUUGGGCAAGAUAAAUAUUAGGAAAUGUCAUAUGAAGAUGCCCCCUGUGAACCAAACUUGGUCUUCUAGGUGAAUGAAUUAAUACAGAGUUUGUACAAUAGCAUGUAAUGAUUCUUAACCUGAAAUCUCUUGGGUUCCAACUUAACAAGCCUACCUGCAGUCCUUCCUUUCUUUUCACUGUUCAUUUAGUGCACUGUAUGAGGCAAAUGAUUAUAUAAUUAAAGACUGUAUCAGAAUGCACAUGCACAAGGCCGUAAAUUAAUGCUGUACAGACAGCAUUAAGUCUGACAUUUUCUAACACUGGGAGUGCUUGUCUUUGAAACCCUAGUGUUCUUCUCACAUUGAUUGAGCCGGAGAUUUAACUGUGAAAAUCUAAGUGGGAAAAAAAAGAUCUUAGCAUUCAAAACUAAUGAUAAUAUCUAGGGUCAGAGCAGAGGUUUUCUACAAUUUUUCUACAAUUAAGGUUGUAAAUAUUAGCAGUAGAGAGCAGAAACUGUCCCGUGUCAGUACAUGAAGGUUAGAACUGCAAUGCUCCCUGGAGGCUAUCCAGAUCAAGUCUUCAGAUGGCCUGGGGACAUGCUCCCUGCCUUUCUGCAAAAAUAUGUCAUAGAAUGAGGGAAAGUACAUGUCCAGAUCUUAGUCUUUCCGUAACAUGGACUCAAGAUGCUGCCAAACACAGGAGACUGAGGGCACUCAAACAUCCAGUAUGUUAGCCACCAUCUCUGUGAAUCAUCUGCUGAAGAGGAAUGUGAAACACUUUUGCCAGUUUACAGCCUUUCUAGCUGCAGAAGGUAAGAAAUAUGCAUUCCCAGGCUCCACUGGUUCUGGAGGAGAGAAGACAUGAAUACACUACGUCAUUAAGCUCAUGUGGCGUAUGCAAUCUGAAUGUUGGUGGCUCUGCAUAUGGCACUUAGUCUGGUAACUUCAAAGACAGCUAGUUGUAUUAAUGGUACCACCUAAGUGAAUUUGUCACUCCCAAUUACUAUGUUUGCAAAAGAAAUGGACUCUCUUCUCCACUUCCUUGCAUAAGGCCAUCAGGACAAACUCUUCAGUAGAAGCUGUGUGGUUCAUCCCAUGAUCCAGACAAGUCUUUGGAAGGUUUGAGGUUAUAACCCAUGAUAUCCUGCUGCUCAUCAUGUUUUUGAAUAAAAAAGUCAAAGGAUGAAAAUAA